rnacentral:rRNA from 1 species
AUUGAACGCUGGCGGCAGGCCUAACACAUGCAAGUCGAGCGAGCGGCGGACGGGAGAGUAAUGUAUGGGGACUGAGCGAUAGAGGGGGAUAACUACUGGAAACGAUGACUAAUACCGCAUACUAUCGGAUAACCCAUAUGGGAUUAGCUAGUAGGUAGGGUAAAGGCUAACCUAGGCGACGAUCUCUAGCUGGUCUGAGAGGAUGAUCAGCCACACUGGGACUGAGACACGGCCCAGACUCCUACGGAGGCAGCAGUGGGGAAUAUUGCACAAUGGGGGCAAGCCUGACGCAGCCAUGCCGCGUGUAUGAAGAAGGCCUUAGGGUUGUAAAGUACUUUCAGCAGCGAGGCGUUACCCGCAGAAGAAGCACCGGCUAACUCCGUGCCAGCAGCCGCGGUAAUUC